rnacentral:tRNA from 1 species
GCCUGAGUGGCUCAGUCAGUUGAGUGUCUGACUUUGGCUCAGGUCAUGAUCUCACAGUUCGUGAGUUCAAGCCCCACAUCGGGCU